rnacentral:rRNA from 1 species
CCUACGGGUGGCUGCAGUCGAGAAUCUUUCACAAUGGUGGAAACCCUGAUGGUGCGACGCCGCGUGGGGGAAUGAAGGUCUUCGGAUUGUAAACCUCUGUUAUGUGGGAGCAAAUUCAAAAGAUAGUACCCCAAGAGGAAGAGACGGCUAACUCUGUGCCAGCAGCCGCGGUACUACGGAGGAUGUGAGCGUUAUCAGGAUUUAUUGGGUUUAAAGGGUGCGUAGGCGGGCUGUGAAGUCAGCGGUAAAAGCGCGGGGCUCAACCCCGGCGAGCCGUUGAAACUGGCUGUCUUGAGAUGGCGAGAGGUAUGCGGAAUGCGCGGUGUAGCGGUGAAAUGCUUAGAUAUCACGCAGAACUCCGAUUGCGAAGGCAGCAUACCGGCGGCGAUCUGACGCUGAGGCACGAAAGCGUGGGUAUCGAACAGGAUUAGAUACCCGAGUAGUC